AGUGAACGCUGGCGGUAGGCCUAACACAUGCAAGUCGAACGGUAGCACAGUAAGAGCUUGCUCUUACGGGUGGCGAGUGGCGGACGGGUGAGGAAUACAUCGGAAUCUACUUUUUCGUGGGGGAUAACGUAGGGAAACUUACGCUAAUACCGCAUACGACCUACGGGUGAAAGCAGGAGAUCUUCGGACCUUGCGCGAUUGAAUGAGCCGAUGUCGGAUUAGCUAGUUGGCGGGGUAAAGGCCCACCAAGGCGACGAUCCGUAGCUGGUCUGAGAGGAUGAUCAGCCACACUGGAACUGAGACACGGUCCAGACUCCUACGGGAGGCAGCAGUGGGGAAUAUUGGACAAUGGGCGCAAGCCUGAUCCAGCCAUACCGCGUGGGUGAAGAAGGCCUUCGGGUUGUAAAGCCCUUUUGUUGGGAAAGAAAAGCAGCAGGUUAAUACCCCGCUGUUCUGACGGUACCCAAAGAAUAAGCACCGGCUAACUUCGUG
rnacentral:rRNA from 1 species